AUACGUAGGAUCCGAGCGUUAUCCGGAUUUAUUGGGUUUAAAGGGUGCGCAGGCGGCCAUUUAAGUCAGCGGUUAAAUCGUGGGGCUCAACCCCAUUCUGCCGUUGAUACUGGGUGGCUUGAUUGCGGUCGAGGUUGGCGGAAUUCGUUGUGUAGCGGUGAAAUGCAUAGAUAUGACGAAGAACACCGAUUGCGUAGGCAGCUGACCAGAUCGCAAAUGACGCUCAUGCACGAAAGUGCGGGGAUCGAACAGGAUUAGAUACCCUGGUAGUCCGCACAGUAAACGAUGAAUACUUGUUUUCGGCGAUAUAAUGUCGGAGGCAAAGCGAAAGCGAUAAGUAUUCCACCUGGGGAGUACGCCGGCAACGGUGAAACUCAAAUGAAUUGACGGGG
rnacentral:rRNA from 1 species